rnacentral:rRNA from 1 species
CCUACGGGAGGCAGCAGUGGGGAAUAUUGCACAAUGGGGGAAACCCUGAUGCAGCGACGCCGCGUGAGUGAAGAAGUAAUUCGUUAUGUAAAGCUCUAUCAUCAGGGAAGAAAAUGACGGUACCUGAGUACGAAGCCCCGGCUAACUACGUGCCAGCAGCCGCGGUCCUACGAAGGGGGCAAGCGUUAUCCGGAUUUACUGGGUGUAACGGGAGCGUAGACGGCAGUGCAAGUCUGGAGUGAAUGGCGGGGGCUCAACCCCCGGACUGCUCUGGAAACGGUAAGGCUGGAGUGCAGGAGAGGUAAGUGGAAUUCCUAGUGUAGCGGUGAAAUGCGUAGAUAUUAGGAGGAACACCAGUGGCGAAGGCGGCUUACUGGACUGUAACUGACGUUGAGGCUCGAAAGCGUGGGGAGCAAACAGGAUUAGAUACCCUAGUAGUC